rnacentral:rRNA from 1 species
AUUGAACGCUGGCGACAUGCCUUACACAUGCAAGUCGAACGGCAGCACGGGAGCAAUCCUGGUGGCGAGUGGCGAACGGGUGAGUAAUAUAUCGGAACGUGCCCAGUCGUGGGGAUAACGUAGCGAAAGCUACGCUGAUACCGCAUACGAUCUAUGGAUGAAAGCGGGGGAUCGCAAGACCUCGCGCGAUUGGAGCGGCCGAUAUCAGAUUAGGUAGUUGGUGAGGUAAAGGCUCACCAAGCCAACGAUCUGUAGCUGGUCUGAGAGGACGACCAGCCACACUGGGACUGAGACACGGCCCAGACUCCUACGGGAGGCAGCAGUGGGGAAUUUUGGGACAAUGGGCGCAAGCCUGAUCCAGCCAUGCCGCGUGCAGGAAGAAGGUCCCUAAUGGAUUGUAAACUGCUUUUAUACAAGAAGAAACACUCCCUCGUGAGGGAACUUGACGGUACUGUAUGAAUAAGGACCGGCUAAC